rnacentral:rRNA from 1 species
UACGUAGGGCGCGAGCGUUAUCCGGAAUUAUUGGGCGUAAAGAGCUCGUAGGCGGUUUGUCACGUCUGCUGUGAAAACUGGAGGCUCAACCUCCAGCCUGCAGUGGGUACGGGCAGACUAGAGUGCGGUAGGGGAGAUUGGAAUUCCUGGUGUAGCGGUGGAAUGCGCAGAUAUCAGGAGGAACACCGAUGGCGAAGGCAGAUCUCUGGGCCGUAACUGACGCUGAGGAGCGAAAGCGUGGGGAGCGAACAGG